rnacentral:rRNA from 1 species
CAAGAGCGUAUGUAAAAGUUGUUGCAGUUAAAAAGCUCGUAGUUGAACUUUGGGUUUGGUUGGCCGGUCCGCUUUUUUGCGAGCACUGGAUUCAACCGAGCCUUUCCUUCUGGCUAACCAGUCGUUUCGGCGGCUGGCGAACCAGGAUUUUUACUUUGAGAAAAUUAGAGUGUUCAAAGCAGGCAUUAGCUUGAAUAUAUUAGCAUGGAAUAAUAGAAUAGGACGUUAUGAUUCUAUUUUGUUGGUUUCUAGGACCAUCGUAAUGAUUAAUAGGGACGGUCGGGGGCAUCAGUGUUCAGUUGUCAGAGGUGAAAUUCUUGGAUUUACUGAAGACUAACUACUGCGAAAGCAUUUGCCAAGGACGUUUUCAUUAA